UUAGAGUUUGAUCCUGGCUCAGGAUGAACGCUAGCGGCAGGCUUAACACAUGCAAGUCGAGGGGCAACGAGAUCAGUGCUUGCACUGAUUGUCGGCGACCGGCGCACGGGUGCGUAACGCGUAUGCAACCUACCCAUUACAGGGGGAUAACACUGAGAAAUCGGUACUAAUACCCCAUAACAUCCAGGGAGGCAUCUUCUUGGGUUGAAAACUCCGGUGGUAAUGGAUGGGCAUGCGUUGUAUUAGUUAGUUGGUGGGGUAACGGCUCACCAAGACAACGAUACAUAGGGGGACUGAGAGGUUAACCCCCCACAUUGGUACUGAGACACGGACCAAACUCCUACGGGAGGCAGCAGUGAGGAAUAUUGGUCAAUGGACGCAAGUCUGAACCAGCCAUGCCGCGUGCAGGAAGACGGCUCUAUGAGUUGUAAACUGCUUUUGUACGAGGGUAAACGCAGAUACGCGUAUCUGUCUGAAAGUAUCGUACGAAUAAGGAUCGGCUAACUCCGUGCCAGCAGCCGCGGUAAUACGGAGGAUUCAAGCGUUAUCCGGAUUUAUUGGGUUUAAAGGGUGCGUAGGCGGUCGGAUAAGUUAGAGGUGAAAUCCCGGGGCUCAACUUCGGAAUUGCCUCUGAUACUGUUCGGCUAGAGAGUAGUUGCGGUAGGCGGAAUGUAUGGUGUAGCGGUGAAAUGCUUAGAGAUCAUACAGAACACCGAUUGCGAAGGCAGCUUACCAAGCUACUUCUGACGUUGAGGCACGAAAGCGUGGGGAGCAAACAGGAUUAGAUACCCUGGUAGUCCACGCAGUAAACGAUGAUAACUCGUUGUCGGCGAUACAGUGUCGGUGACUAAGCGAAAGCGAUAAGUUAUCCACCUGGGGAGUACGUUCGCAAGAAUGAAACUCAAAGGAAUUGACGGGGGCCCGCACAAGCGGAGGAACAUGUGGUUUAAUUCGAUGAUACGCGAGGAACCUUACCCGGGCUUGAAAGUUAGUGACGGAUCUUGAAAGAGGUCUUCCCUUCGGGGCACGAAACUAGGUGCUGCAUGGUUGUCGUCAGCUCGUGCCGUGAGGUGUCGGGUUAAGUCCCAUAACGAGCGCAACCCCUACCGUUAGUUGCCAGCAGGUCAAGCUGGGCACUCUGACGGGACUGCCGGUGUAAGCCGAGAGGAAGGUGGGGAUGACGUCAAAUCAGCACGGCCCUUACGUCCGGGGCUACACACGUGUUACAAUGGCAGGUACAGAGGGCAGCUACCCAGCGAUGGGAUGCGAAUCUCGAAAGCCUGUCUCAGUUCGGAUUGGAGGCUGAAACCCGCCUCCAUGAAGUUGGAUUCGCUAGUAAUCGCGCAUCAGCCAUGGCGCGGUGAAUACGUUCCCGGGCCUUGCACUCACCGCCCGUCA
rnacentral:rRNA from 1 species